GACGAACGCUGGCGGCGUGCUUAACACAUGCAAGUCGAACGGAAAGGCCCUGCUUUUGUGGGGGGCUCGAGUGGCGAACGGGUGAGUAACACGUGAGUAACCUGCCCUUGACUUUGGGAUAACUUCAGGAAACUGGGGCUAAUACCGGAUAGGAGCUCCUGCUGCAUGGUGGGGGGUGGAAAGUUUCGGCGGUUGGGGAUGGACUCGCGGCUUAUCAGCUUGUUGGUGGGGUAGUGGCUUACCAAGGCUUUGACGGGUAGCCGGCCUGAGAGGGUGACCGGCCACAUUGGGACUGAGAUACGGCCCAGACUCCUACGGGAGGCAGCAGUGGGGAAUAUUGCACAAUGGGCGGAAGCCUGAUGCAGCAACGCCGCGUGCGGGAUGACGGCCUUCGGGUUGUAAACCGCUUUCGCCUGUGACGAAGCGUGAGUGACGGUAAUGGGUAAAGAAGCACCGGCUAACUACGUG
rnacentral:rRNA from 1 species